rnacentral:rRNA from 1 species
UACGAAGGGUGCAAGCGUUACUCGGAAUUACUGGGCGUAAAGCGUGCGUAGGUGGUUGUUUAAGUCUGUUGUGAAAGCCCUGGGCUCAACCUGGGAAUUGCAGUGGAUACUGGGCGACUAGAGUGUGGUAGAGGGUAGUGGAAUUCCCGGUGUAGCAGUGAAAUGCGUAGAGAUCGGGAGGAACACCAGUGGCGAAGGCGGCCUUCUGGACCAGUACUGACGCUCAUGCACGAAAGCGUGGGGAGCAAACAGG